rnacentral:rRNA from 1 species
UACGAAGGGGGCUAGCGUUGCUCGGAAUCACUGGGCGUAAAGCGCACGUAGGCGGAUUGCUAAGUCAGGGGUGAAAUCCUGGAGCUCAACUCCAGAACUGCCUUUGAUACUGGCGAGCUUCGAGUCCGUGAGAGGUGAGUGGAACUGCGAGUGUAGAGGUGAAAUUCGUAGAUAUUCGCAAGAACACCAGUGGCGAAGGCGGCUCACUGGCCCGGUACUGACGCUGAGGUGCGAAAGCGUGGGGAGCAAACAGG